rnacentral:tRNA from 1 species
UGGUAUAUUGGUUAAAGCACUCGACUUCCAUUCCAGUGACCCAGGUUCGAUUCCUGG